AUUGAACGCUGGCGGCAGGCCUAACACAUGCAAGUCGAGCGAGAGGCGGACGGGUGCGUAAUGUAUGGGGACUGCCCGUUAGAGGGGGAUAACUACUGGAAACGGUAGCUAAUACCGCAUACUAUAGGAUACCCCACAUGGGAUUAGCUAGUAGGUGAGGUAAUGGCUCACCUAGGCGACGACCCCUAGCUGGUCUGAGAGGUUGAUCAGUCACACUGAGACUGAGACGCGGCCCUGACACGUACGGAGGCAGAAGUGGGGAAGAUGGCACAAUGGGCGCAAGCCUGAUGCAGCCAUGCCGCGUGUAUGAAGCAGGCCCUAGGGUUGUAAAGUACUUUCAGUCGGGAGGCGUUACCGACAGAAGAAGCACCGGCUAACUCCGUGCCAGCAGCCGCGGUAAUAC
rnacentral:rRNA from 1 species